CCUACCCUACGGGGGGCAGCAGUGGGGAAUAUUGCGCAAUGGGCGAAAGCCUGACGCAGCGACGCCGCGUGAGGGAUGAAGGUCUUCGGAUCGUAAACCUCUGUCAGCAGGGAAGAACGGUCACUGUGCUAAUCAGCAGUGACUUGACGGUACCUGCAAAGGAAGCACCGGCUAACUCCGUGCCAGCAGCCGCGGUAAUACGUAGGGUGCGCGCGUUACUCGGAAUUACUGGGCGU
rnacentral:rRNA from 1 species